UUCUCAUCUCACUUUUGUUUCCCAUUCAACAAGUUUGUAUCGAUUGCUUGUAAUCUAGUACAAGGUUGGUGUUGGGUGCUCACUUUUAAACAUCCGAUUGCACAGAGAAAGCUAACGGUUCAUUGUCACUCUGAUUAGAAUUAAGAACAUGAGAUCGAUGGAUGUGUUACGUCUCUAUAGAGCUUUAUAGUUUGCACACUGCUUUUGUAGUUGUUAAAGUUCAUUCUUGUAACAUUUUUCAAAGUUUGAUGUCUAUAGAGAUCGCUUGAGGAUUUUAUUAAAAUGUCAGUUCUGAUUAACAAGUCGGGGCUGUAGCCUGAGAAUCGGCAUUUCUGCAAGGUCAUGUUUUACCUGCUCCUGGUUCACUUCCAGUUGCAAGGCCUUUUGUACUUGUUCCUCUUUUGCUGCACGUGAAGCAACUUAGAGUAGACAGGCUGAAUGACUAGCUCAAUCACAGGGUGAGACCCUGCCAAGCCAGAGCAGUACACGAGAGGUUUGAUUCAGACCAGUGCGAGCGCCACCUUCCCUGAUGUCACAGAAACUAGUGAUUACAGAGAGACCCUCUAAAAAUAUUAGGAGAAAAAGUAAUACAAACUUAUAAAGAUAUGUGCAAAAUGAGACAGGCUUCUUUUGCCCCUCAAGAUUUUCAGAAUACUGCCUCAGAGACUUCAUCUUUUCCAGAAAUGAAAGUGAUUUGUGAAUGAUCAUUUUUUGAGAUUUCCAUAUGUUUUAAAUAGAAACACAUUUUAGAAGAAAAACAUAGCGAGAUUAUUUGCUCUCUUAAAAAAAAAAACAACAGAAAAUAGCGAAUCUAUCCUUAAAACUAUUGAAAUGCAUUAAUUUGUACAAGGUAAUAUUUACUUCUCUGAUACUGUGUUCCAAAACGACCAUUCUGUUUCUUCUGGUACCUGCCCAUGACCCCCAAAUUUAGUAAGAUCUGAAAAGAGAUGUUUUAGUGCCAACAUGCAGAUGGAAAAACAAAAGCCAUGGAAGGAUAAGCCACUUACACAAUAUAUUAUCUAAGUGGCUGUAGACCAGGGAUCAGAACCCAGUUUUCCCUUUCUCUGUACUCUUCUCCUUAGGUGCCUGGGAAUGAUAGACAAACCCAGUAUCUACUGACAGUCAAUAAUGAAGUAAAUCUCAGAGCUCACUAAAGAUUAAUGGAUUUUCCAAAGUAACUUCUGGGUAGUUAAGAUUUGACUCAAUAAAAGCUGGAACCAUCUUCUCUAGCUGAGUUCAGCCACAUCUAUUACUUGCUGAAGCUUAAAAGUAUUCUCUGGAUGGCACUGAUUAUAUAGCAGCUUGAUUCUUUGCAAGCGCAGAAUAGUCCAUAGUUUUGUGUUCUUAAUGGCAAAUCACCUAAAAUUGUUUUUAUUGAGUACUUACCACGUGCAAUAAUAUCUGUAUAUUUUAUGGAUGCCUGUAUGGAGUGAAAAUUGCUGUAAACCAGGAGAAGAUACUUGUAUUAAAGCCAAAUCAUCAGGAUUGCCAAAGAGUAUAUUUUAAGAAAGUAGUCAUGCAAUUCUCAGUUAGGCUAAGAUCUCUCCCUAGUUCAAAUCUAUUUGCUGGAGUCACAACAAAGUAUUUAGUAGGUGUUAGGAAAUAUCCGUUAGUUCAGUUACAACAUGGUUGCCUUUAGUAUCAACACAUUUAGCAGCCAUGUGGUUUAUUUUUAUGUUGAUGCUUUGUGCAAAGUGCCAUCUACAACCAAUAAAUCUAAUUAUUAUGUGUUCCUAUUCAAAAAUGAACGCAAGGUUUUGUAUCUAUAUAUGUACAUCAGCUAAAUAUUAAUAAAAAUAUUAAAUAUGUACUUGAUGUGAAAUAGUGGCAUUGCUUAACUUACUUAGAAAAGAAGUAUCCCUGAAGGAGUGUAUGAAUUACCCAUAUGCUUUGUAAGUUAAUAUUCUAAAACUACUUGAAGUCACCAGUUUUUGGUAUUAUAAAUCGCUUGGAACAGUGUCUGAUGCAAAGCAAGUGCUCAGUAAAUGGCAACCCUUUCUAAUGAUUCAUUAACCUUCACAACAACUUUAUUUUAUUUGUACCUUCCCCCUCACCACACAGGCCAACAGAUGAGGUUACCAAGGCAUAGAUAUGUUGAGUAACUUGCUCAAGAUCACACAGCUAAACAGCUAGGCAGUUGUAAAAUUGGUCAGUGAAUACAAAAAUUUAUCCUCAGAAACUAUAUAUUCUUAAUCCCUCGCUUCUGUAAGCAUUUAAAUAAAAUAAUAACAAUAAUAAGUAACUUUAUUUCAAACUCUUGUGUCUUCUCUGAGCCUUGUUUAUUUCACUAUAUCCUUAGGAUUUGCUCUCAGUUCCAAUAUUUAUAAAAUCUUUUGCAGCCAGAACUACUGUAGAGAACAUUAUACAGACAUUCUUUAUUACCCCAUGUAUUAACUAGGAAAUAUUUCAUUUGCCAGGAAAUGUAAAACAAAGACCUGUAAUUAAAAGAAAAUAGAGACGGUGAGGCAGAAGUUAACGUGCUUAAUUCUUACUUGGAAAAAACAUUGGAUGCUGAAAUUAAUAUGCAUCAAAAACUGACAUAUCAAAACCUGACUUAAUUUUAAGCUGUUUUUAGAUGAAUUGCCCAAAUACUUAGAGUUAAGUCACAGCCAAAGUUGUGUUUGAGGUUUCACUUCAUACAGUUUGAACUUUCUUGCUAUAGAAAUAGGAAAGUCUUUUGACCCCUGACUUUUUAUGCUUCACUUAUUUGAACUGCAUUUUUAUUUUCUCACAAAUUAAAAACCAUAUCUUUCGGCAAAGAGCCUAUUAGGGGAACAAAUCUUCCUUGAAAAUGUUCUGAAACAGGCUUCAUUUUCAUCCUUGUGUAAUUUUAUUUCCAAACUGAGAGCCAACUGGAGCAUGUCAGAAACAGCUGAUGAGUAGAUGAAGUAAUGACUUCUUACAUAACAAGAUUAGUUUUCUCAUUUGGAAGAAUAAAGGAAUGAAAAAUAUGAGGUGGUUAAUUCCACUGUCAGAAUACCUGUUACUCAUGCGUGGGAAUCUUUCUGGAAAACAGCUUCCUUUCAAAUGUACAGAUAUUAGAAAGACAGGAGUAUCAAUCAUGGCCAUACGUAGUAAAUAACAAGAAGAGAGAAAGGGCUCAUGAGACAAACAACUAAGGCAUAAAGCAGAGGAAGAAAGACACAACUUAUAUAUACGAAAAGAAAAAAAGAAAAGAGCUAAUAUGUGAAAGUUAAAAUGGUGCUUAAGCUUUAAACUGAUAAGACAAAUGUAAUAGAGAGUGGAGGCAAUUACCUUGGUAACUCAGGCCCCAAAGUCUGCAGGUAAGUAAAAUGUAUGGGAAUAGACCUACAUUUUUUCCUACUUUGGGCUUUCAGUAAUCACUUUCACUCAUCAAACUGCUGUAGUCACAUUCUGAAUCCAAUGGGAUUAAAGGCAUAUGGCACAAACUAGAAUCCUGGUUUUUAGAAAAAAAUAAUCCAGAUGGUGUAGACGGCUACUAAAAUAUAUGCACGUACACACACACACACACACACACACACACACACACACACACAGAGUCAUGUUUAAUUAUAGUGUAAUUGGUGCUGUGCUAUUGUUCAUGAAGGUAAAAAUGACCCAGAGUAUGAAGUGUUCAAUCUUAAAAUGUACAGAAGGCUCGUCACACGUAGAAGAUGCUCAAUUUAUUUAAUGAAUGAAACAAACAAAACACCAAAAUAGUACAAAGUUGUGAACAUAACAGAAAAAGCAAAGGCAUACAAGGAUAUGCAUUUCAAACUGAAUAUUUUUGAGCACGUCUUGGAUCUGGUUGUUUGCACAAUGGCUGCCUUGUUCAUAUUUGUUUUCCCUUUAUAUUCAGAAAUUCUAUUUUGAGAAGUUAUGCAUUGAGUCUGGAUUUUUCCCACCUCACCCCUCUUUGAAGCAGAUGAAAGGCAUAUCUUCUAUCUGUACAAGUUUCUUCCUGCCCUGUUUUGGAUUUCUUAUGCCUUAUAACACUAGGUUAAUUAUAUCCCCUAUGAAUUAAGGAGAUGUGGAUACACUUCCUUCUGCAGAGCUAUAUAUAAAUAUUUUCUACAUAUGGAGAGAGUUAAGACUAAGCAAGCCUCCUGCUAACAUUUGCAGGCCUGGGGCAAGAAUAUAUGCUAUAUGUAUGACUAUUCAUAAUUAUACAUCGAAUUAGCAAAGUAUUAAAUAAAACAGACUUAUUCAUACCUUGACCAAGAUAUUUUUCAUAAAAUUCUAGAAGGUUAGUUUUAAACUUAGAAUUCUUAGAUUCCUGAGGUUUCUAUUCUAGAAUAUGGCAGUGGCGGGGAGAGCUGGUCCUCAGCCCCCCCACCCCCCAUGCUGUUUUUAUCCCAUUGUCUUCCCUUUGGAUUCCUCCUGUCUUUUCAAGGGCCUUACCCACAUGUGAGAUAUCCCAGCUUACAAACCCAAACUUCUGCCAACCCUCCCAAGAAACCACUCUGGCUAGGUAUCUGCACUGCAGACAUCCAAACAGACAAUUGCAUUGAAAGCUCUUCUUGCCCAGAAUUACAGACACUUCAAGUUAAACAACACUUAGAAAUUCUUGCCUUAAUGAAGAUUAUUCUUUGCACUCUACUUAUGCCUAUGAAAUGUGAUAUUUAAAACAAUGGUAUAAUGAUAUCUCCUGGUAGAUACGUGAAUCUGAUGAAGAAAAUUUUCUUCAGGUGAAGAAAAUGGAAUUCAGGGAUGUCAACAUUCAUAACUUUUAAAAAUUCAUAGGUUAAGAAAAUAACACAUUUACCACAAGUCUUCAAGGGAAAGCCAAUAUCAAUACUGGGACAUUAGCAGAAGACUUUUCAUUCCUGAAAUACUAUUAGGAACAAUUACCUAGCCUAAGGUACAACUGAGGGAGAAGCUCAUCAAACAAACUUUGAAAAAUAUUUUAUGAUGAAUAUUUAUUAGUCGAUUUUAAGAUUGCAAGCUAGGUAUGGCCUAUUACAGACGUUCUUUGUCAAUAUUUUAUGACUAUGCUGAAAUGUCCUGGGAGAACUUGGGGGAAAAAUGGAAAUGAAAUUGCUUUCUGAGAGCUAAACUGUGAAAUCAACACAUAGUCGAUCAGAUCAGAGAUCUGCAAAGUUGCCUUAAAGAGAGAGAUUGGCUUCCUGAAUUGCAAAACUAAACAAUCUAAUUGAAUGUAGUAAAAUAGCAAAAGAAAGAAUUAUGCCCAUCAGAAAGAAGUUAGUCAGAAAAUGAAAUAUAGAAAAGAGAGGGUCCCAGAACUGAAUUGACUAUGUCAAUAUAAAUAUACUCUCAUGGACAAGAUGCCUUUUUCAACAAAUUUUGAAUAUUUCUAUCUCAGUGGAAAGGCCAUCCCUAAUGUGGGUAUGUACAUGUCAGGCUGUCUGAUCCUGCCAGUAAAUAUUUAUAUCAUUUAGUUUUCCCUCUUUGUUCUAACUCAGUUCUUUCCAGGCCUUCUUCUUAUAAAGAAUUUGUUUCCGAUGUAGUUCAGUCUAAAUGGCUAAUUAUGCCUGCUGGGAGGAUACAAAUCAUGUGCGAUGAUUUUGUUGUUAUAUAUUAAUCAAGAGGCAUUGUAGUGUGUGUAGGAGAAUGUUAAUUCUCUGCUCAGACUUCGUAUUAACAGAACCCUGAUAUUUUUGUAAUGUUCCUAAAUAAAUAAAUAAAAACUACAUUUUCCAGCUUCUCUUGCAGGAUACAAAGGCUGAAAUAACAGAAAAUCAGAGGAUCUCGUGGUAAUGUGGAGUUGCCACACCUCUCCUAAGCUACUUACCUCUGAGUAUUUUGUUAUAUGGAAAAACAAAACAAAACAACUCUCCCCUUCAGAUAAGCCACCAUAGAAUCCAUGUUGCCUGCACCCAAAUAACAGUCCUACGUGAGAAACAGAGUCUUCUCAUCAGCCUUUGAAAAACUGUUGUCAUAAAGCUGAGGAUGGUGAAUUAAUUAAGUCAACAAGUAAUAAUCAAGUGCAUACUGUGUGGGAAGUUCUUGGCAGACAUUUGGACUUAAACCAGCACUGUUCCUGAUCUAAUUGCCCAUGCGGUAAAAAUGGGGCUUAGAAGACAGGGAAAGUAGGAAUCGACAUGUAAAAGUAAUAUAAUAAAUUAUAGUAUUAUUAUAAAUAUGCUGAAGGAAAUGGACAGAGUGAAGUGAUGGGCAAAACAAGGUAGAAAGCAUUUACCCAGGGUGGUUGUGAAAGCUGCUGCCAACAAAUGCACUUUUGGAAGAAAAGUGACAUAAAUGGAGCAUGAGCAUUGGAAGGAGCGUCUUCUAGGCAUAUAGAACAGCAAGGGCAAAUCCACCUGGCAGUGCCAUUUUGUGAGGCCUCCUGGUUUUGUUACCAGCCUUCUGUCACUGUAAUCUUGUCCCUUUGCUUGACUUCUUGAGGGGUCUUAAAAGAAAGUACAUUAACAGAGAGGAGGUAUUAGCUAGGGGUUCUUGCAGAAUUAGGAAUAAACCACACACUUUGUUUCAUUUCCUUCUUCCAGUCACCACUGCACCAUUGCUUGGAAUUUAUUAUCAAUUCAUUAACAUUGUCUCCAUUUUCUCAUACACAACUAUGGCUUUACUGUGGUGCAUCUCAGUCUCUCGAUUUCAAAACCUUUCCUGAAAAUGAAUUCUAGCAGAGUGCUCUAAAGCUGUAAUUAUGCUUCCAAAAUAAAAAUGCUUUAUUUUUCAGUGAUUCUCUCUACA